rnacentral:rRNA from 1 species
GUCUAUGGCCAUGCCACCCUGAAUGUGCCUGAUCUCAUUUGAUCUCGGAAGCUAAGCAAAGUUGGGCCUGGUUAAUACUUGGAUGGGAGACCACCUAGGAAAACCAGGUGCUGUAGGCA